rnacentral:rRNA from 1 species
GCGAGCGGCGGACGGGUGAGUAAUGCCUAGGAAUCUGCCUGGUAGUGGGGGAUAACGUUCGGAAACGGACGCUAAUACCGCAUACGUCCUACGGGAGAAAGCAGGGGACCUUCGGGCCUUCCGCUAUCAGAUGAGCCUAGGUCGGAUUAGCUAGUUGGUGAGGUAAUGGCUCACCAAGGCGACGAUCCGUAACUGGUCUGAGAGGAUGAUCAGUCACACUGGAACUGAGACACGGUCCAGACUCCUACGGGAGGCAGCAGUGGGGAAUAUUGCACAAUGGGCGAAAGCCUGAUCCAGCCAUGCCGCGUGUGUGAAGA